UACGGAGGGUGCGAGCGUUGUCCGGAAUCACUGGGCGUAAAGGGCGCGUAGGUGGCGCGGGCAGUCAACGGUGAAAGUUCGGGGCUCAACCCUGAAUCGGCCGUCGAUACUCCCGGGCUUGAGCACUGUAGAGGCAGAUGGAAUUCCGGGUGUAGCGGUGGAAUGCGUAGAGAUCCGGAAGAACACCGGUGGCGAAGGCGGUCUGCUGGGCAGUAGCUGACACUGAGACGCGAAAGCGCGGGGAGCGAACGGG
rnacentral:rRNA from 1 species